rnacentral:lncRNA from 1 species
CAUGGAGCCGUCUCCCUGGGCAGACUGUGGAACUGCUCCCCUUUCCCCAAACACCCAGCUGCUUGUCUAUGGGGAAACCUAGUUGAACAGGAAGACAAGACAGACAAAUAUCAUCCGUUGAAAUAUAGCUUCAGGAAGCUCCAGAGCACACAGAGCAUUUUGGCGUGUUAGACUGGGCACAGGUCCUGAAGGAGGAGAAAGUCUCGAGCUGUCAUUGAGGCUGUGAUUGUGGAGGCUCCCUGCACAGAAAACUCCUUUGGCUCCUGGUAAUAAAGCCUGCUCUGGCUGAAGCAGGAGUGGGGCCUGGGCCUGCCCCUCAGCCUCUCCCUUCCUGGUCUCUGAGACAUUUGCGCAGAAGCUUGAGGCUGCUGGCAACACUGUUUCAAAAGCUUUGCUGCUGACAAACAAACCAUACAAACUCAUUAUUGGGACAGCUGGGGAAAUUUGAAUAUGGACUGGGUA